CACCGAGGACGAGUGGUUCUGUGACUUCCGAAAUCACCGCCGGAGCUCCGGGCUGAGCUUCUGCCACUUGAGACCCUGCUGCUGUCGCCGGAAAAUUUUGCCGUUGAUCCACCGAAGCUUCUGGCCGCCGCCGGAGCUGU